rnacentral:rRNA from 1 species
AGUUGAGUAGGGAAAGUUUUUCGGUGUAGGAUGAGACUAUAUAGUAUCAGCUAGUUGGUAAGGUAAUGGCUUACCAAGGCUAUGACGCUUAACUGGUCUGAGAGGAUGAUCAGUCACACUGGAACUGAGACACGGUCCAGACUCCUACGGGAGGCAGCAGUAGGGAAUAUUGCGCAAUGGGGGAAACCCUGACGCAGCAACGCCGCGUGGAGGAUGACACUUUUCGGAGCGUAAACUCCUUUUCUUAGGGAAGAAUUCUGACGGUACCUAAGGAAUAAGCACCGGCUAACUCCGUGCCAGCAGCCGCGGUAAUACGGAGGGUGCAAGCGUUACUCGGAAUCACUGGGCGUAAAGGGCGCGUAGGCGGAUUAUCAAGUCUCUUGUGAAAUCUAAUGGCUUAACCAUUAAACUGCUUGGGAAACUGAUAGUCUAGAGUGAGGGAGAGGCAGAUGGAAUUGGUGGUGUAGGGGUAAAAUCCGUAGAUAUCACCAAGAAUACCCAUUGCGAAGGCGAUCUGCUGGAACUCAACUGACGCUAAGGCGCGAAAGCGUGGGGAGCAAACAGGAUUAGAUACCCUGGUAGUCCACGCCCUAAACGAUGUACACUAGUUGUUGGGGUGCUAGUCAUCUCAGUAAUGCAGCUAACGCAUUAAGUGUACCGCCUGGGGAGUACGGUCGCAAGAUUAAAACUCAAAGGAAUAGACGGGGACCCGCACAAGCGGUGGAGCAUGUGGUUUAAUUCGAAGAUACGCGAAGAACCUUACCUGGGCUUGAUAUCCUAAGAACCUUUUAGAGAUAAGAGGGUGCUAGCUUGCUAGAACUUAGAGACAGGUGCUGCACGGCUGUCGUCAGCUCGUGUCGUGAGAUGUUGGGUUAAGUCCCGCAACGAGCGCAACCCACGUAUUUAGUUGCUAACGGUUCGGCCGAGCACUCUAAAUAGACUGCCUUCGUAAGGAGGAGGAAGGUGUGGACGACGUCAAGUCAUCAUGGCCCUUAUGCCCAGGGCGACACACGUGCUACAAUGGCAUAUACAAUGAGACGCAAUACCGCGAGGUGGAGCAAAUCUAUAAAAUAUGUCCCAGUUCGGAUUGUUCUCUGCAACUCGAGAGCAUGAAGCCGGAAUCGCUAGUAAUCGUAGAUCAGCCAUGCUACGGUGAAUACGUUCCCGGGUCUUGUACUCACCGCCCGUCACACCAUGGGAGUUGAUUUCACUCGAAGCCGGAAUACUAAACUAGUUACCGUCCACAGUGGAAUCAGCGACUGGGGUGAAGUCGUAACAAGGUAACCGUAGGAGAACCUGCGGUUGGAUCACCUCCUUUCUA